rnacentral:rRNA from 1 species
GACAGAGGGUGCAAACGUUGCUCGGAAUCACUGGGCGUAAAGGGCGUGUAGGCGGGAAGGAAAGUCAGAUGUGAAAUCCCCAGGCUCAACCUGGGAACUGCAUUUGAAACUCCCUUUCUUGAGUACCGGAGAGGAAAGUGGAAUUCCUGGUGUAGAGGUGAAAUUCGUAGAUAUCAGGAGGAACACCAGUGGCGAAGGCGGCUUUCUGGACGGUAACUGACGCUGAGACGCGAAAGCAUGGGGAGCAAACAGG